CCUACGGGCGGCAGCAGUGAGGAAUAUUGGUCAAUGGGCGAGAGCCUGAACCAGCCAAGUCGCGUGAGGGAGUACUGCCCUAUGGGUUGUAAACCUCUUUUGUCGGGGAGCAAAAGCCGGACGUGUCCGGCUGUGAGAGUACCCGAAGAAAAAGCAUCGGCUAACUCCGUGCCAGCAGCCGCGGUAAUACGGAGGAUGCGAGCGUUAUCCGGAUUUAUUGGGUUAAAAGGGUGCGCAGGCGGAUUUUUAAGUCAGCGGUAAAAUCGUGGGGCUCAACCCUAUCCAGCCGUUGAAACUGGGGAUCUAGAGUGUGCGAGAGGUAUGCGGAAUGCGUGGUGUAGCGGUGAAAUGCAUAGAUAUCACGCAGAACCCCGAUUGCGAAGGCAGCAUACCGGUGCACAACUGACGCUCAGGCACGAAAGCGUGGGUAUCGAACAGGAUUAGAUACCCUUGUAGUC
rnacentral:rRNA from 1 species